AAUCCUAAUUUUAAAAAUAUAUUAAAUUGCAAAUUUAAUUAAGAAUUACAUU
rnacentral:tRNA from 1 species